rnacentral:rRNA from 1 species
UGGGUAGGGGAGCGUUCCAUGAUGGACGAAGUCAGAGCGGAAGCGCUGGUGGACGUCAUGGAAGUGAGAAUGCCGGAAUAAGUAGCGAGAAUUAUGUGAGAAUCAUAAUGGCCGGAAGCCUAAGGUUUUUGGAGGAAGGCUCGUCCUCUCCAAGUAAGCCGGGAGCUAAGGCGAGGCCGAAAGGCGUAGUCGAUGGGAACCAGGUUAAUAUUCCU